rnacentral:sRNA from 1 species
UAACGGUCUUAGGCCGCGAGGCGUUCGC